GCAUGCCCGGCCGAGUGGUUAAGUUGUUGUUUGCUAAGCAUAAGAUCUCCGGUUCGAAUCCCGUCUCGCGCA
rnacentral:tRNA from 1 species